rnacentral:rRNA from 1 species
GACUGCCAGUGGAUAAACUGGGAGGAAGGUGGGGAUGACGUCAAGUCAUCAUGGCCCUUACGACCAGGGCUACACACGUGCUACAAUGGCGCAUACAAAGAGAAGCGACCUCGCGAGAGCAAGCGGACCUCAUAAAGUGCGUCGUAGUCCGGAUUGGAGUCUGCAACUCGACUCCAUGAAGUCGGAAUCGCUAGUAAUCGUGGAUCAGAAUGCCACGGUGAAUACGUUCCCGGGCCUU